AGCUUUCGGUAGAACAGGGACCCACACACAGACAUCCAUGUCCCUGUGCACAUUGGGCUGACUGUGCUUGCAGAGUGUGAAACAGGAAGUAUCUGAACGAACACAUCUGUACUUGCAGAAAAUGACCAAGAUGAGGAAGAAGAUGUUCACGUCGCAGAGGCUGAGAAAAUAGAGGAGCCACGUGCCCCCAGGCUCAUCGGGGAGGUGGCGAGGGCUGAUGUCAAGAGAGUCCCUGAAGACUCACCGGAGGAAUGUCUCAUCACUCGUUCAAAUAGCUAUGGCCCUACUGACUCCAGCCAGCCUCACGGAGACACCAGUGAAAUCCCAUUCAAGGCAGACAAUGUCGACUCUGCACUGGCUGUCAAGAGUCCGUCAUCUCAUGAUGUAGUGGAGGAUGCUCUAAUCAUUCUUUCAGAAAGUCAAAGUGAUGAUGAGGAAGAGGAAGAAAAAGGGCCAGUGACCCCCAGGAAUCUGCAGGAGUCUGUGGAGGAGGAAGCCCCCCAGGAGUCCUGGGAUAAAGGUUAUUCGACUCUCUCAGUUCCUCCUGGGCACAUCUGCCUUCAAUGAGCCUUACAGGAGCAACUUGCACUCAUUAGAGGAGCAGGAAUUCGACUUGGCUGGUGACAUAGACAAGAUUAAAAUAACCAAGAAGAGGAAGAAGAGCGAGGCCCACCAUGCCCCAGGCUCAGCAUGGAGCUGGUGGAAGCAGAAGAGCCUGAAGUCUUCCAGUACUCACUGGAUAUAUUGCAUUCAAUGUAUACAGCCGAU